rnacentral:rRNA from 1 species
GACGAACGCUGGCGGCGUGCUUAACACAUGCAAGUCGAACGGUGAAGCGCCUUCCUUUUUGGUGGGUGUGGAUGAGUGGCGAACGGGUGAGUAACACGUGAGUAACCUGCCCCCUUCUUCUGGAUAACCGCAUGAAAGUGUGGCUAAUACGGGAUAUUCUGGGUCUGUCGCAUGAUGGGUCUGGGAAAGAUAUUGUUUCGGUGGGGGAUGGGCUCGCGGCCUAUCAGCUUGUUGGUGGGGUGAUGGCCUACCAAGGCGGUGACGGGUAGCCGGCCUGAGAGGGUGGACGGUCACACUGGGACUGAGCCACGGCCCAGACUCCUACGGGAGGCAGCAGUGGGGAAUAUUGCACAAUGGGCGCAAGCCUGAUGCAGCGCCGCCGCGUGAGGGAUGGAGGCCUUCGGGUUGUGAACCUCUUUCGCCAGUGAAGCAGGCCUGCCUCGUUUGUGGGUGGGUUGACGGUAGCUGGAUAAGAAGCGCCGGCUAACUACGUG